UGUCUUCAAAAGAGAAGCUGGCCUUUACCAGCAAACAACAAAAUGAUUAGCCUUCAGAGAUAAAUAGAAAAAUAAAAUGAGAAACAUGACUGAUAGCUUAAAUUGCAAGUAGGCAACUCAACACUCAGAAAUGAGUGAAGAAAUAAUCACACAAAGCCAUCUCAUGAUACCACAAUUGCUCAUUAAUGAAAAACAAUUUCGUACCCAAAUUCUAACAUAAACUUGAAAUUAGGCUAAGUAAUAUUAUAAGUAUUAUAUUUUCUCUUCUCUUUCUGCAGCUUAGGAAAAACGAAUCUGGUCUUCUUCUAAUUUCUCGACAUUUUCUUAGAAUGCAAACAGAGAUUCCUAAUACCAUAUUCGUGCAAAAG
rnacentral:misc_RNA from 1 species